GACGAAGGGGGCUAGCGUUGUUCGGAAUUACUGGGCGUAAGGCGAGUGUAGGUGGUUGUCCAAGUUGGAUGUGAAAGCCUUGAGCUCAACUCAAGAAAUGCAUUCAGGACUGGGCGGCUAGAGGACCGGAGAGGAUAGUGGAAUUCCCAGUGUAGUGGUGAAAUACGUAGAGAUUGGGAAGAACACCAGUGGCGAAGGCGGCUAUCUGGACGGUUUCUGACACUAAGACUCGAAAGCGUGGGGAGCAAACAGG
rnacentral:rRNA from 1 species